rnacentral:rRNA from 1 species
CUUGGUCAUUUAGAGGAAGUAAAAGUCGUAACAAGGUCUCCGUAGGUGAACCUGCGGAGGGAUCAUUACACAAAUAUGAAGGCGGGCUGGAACCUCUCGGGGUUACAGCCUUGCUGAAUUAUUCACCCUUGUCUUUUGCGUACUUCUUGUUUCCUUGGUGGGUUCGCCCACCACUAGGACAAACAUAAACCUUUUGUAAUUGCAAUCAGCGUCAGUAACAAAUUAAUAAUUACAACUUUCAACAACGGAUCUCUUGGUUCUGGCAUCGAUGAAGAACGCAGCGAAAUGCGAUAAGUAGUGUUAAUUGCAGAAUUCAGUGAAUCAUCGAAUCUUUGAACGCACAUUGCGCCCUUUGGUAUUCCAAAGGGCAUGCCUGUUCGAGCGUCAUUUGUACCCUCAAGCUUUGCUUGGUGUUGGGCGUCUUGUCUCUAGCUUUGCUGGAGACUCGCCUUAAAGUAAUUGGCAGCCGGCCUACUGGUUUCGGAGCGCAGCACAAGUCGCACUCUCUAUCAGCAAAGGUCUAGCAUCCAUUAAGCCUUUUUUUCAACUUUUGACCUCGGAUCAGGUAGGGAUACCCGCUGAACUUAAGCAUAUCAAUAAGCGGAGGA